UACAGAGCAAGUGUCUUACCCC
rnacentral:piRNA from 1 species